AUUGAACGCUGGCGGCAGGCUUAACACAUGCAAGUCGAGCGGAGUGAUGGUGCUUGCACUAUCACUUAGCGGCGGACGGGUGAGUAAUGCUUAGGAAUCUGCCUAUUAGUGGGGGACAACAUCUCGGAAGGGAUGCUAAUACCGCAUACGUCCUACGGGAGAAAGCAGGGGAUCACUUGUGACCUUGCGCUAAUAGAUGAGCCUAAGUCGGAUUAGCUAGUUGGUGGGGUAAAGGCCUACCAAGGCGACGAUCUGUAGCGGGUCUGAGAGGAUGAUCCGCCACACUGGGACUGAGACACAGCCCAGACUCCUACGGGAGGCAGCAGUGGGGAAUAUUGGACAAUGGGGGGAACCCUGAUCCAGCCAUGCCGCGUGUGUGAAGAAGGCCUUAUGGUUGUAAAGCACUUUAAGCGAGGAGGAGGCUCUUUUGGUUAAUACCCAGGAUGAGUGGACGUUACUCGCAGAAUAAGCACCGGCUAACUCUGUGCCAGCAGCCGCAGUAACAC
rnacentral:rRNA from 1 species